CAUCCCUGAUUCCGCCAAUUAGGGUUAGGUUUGUUGUUGUUGUUCUGUCCUGGACGACGUUACAACAACGGCUCUUAGGCCGGUCCUUCAUCCUGUGAAUCAAGUUGUUUCAAGGUCCUCUGGUGUCACGACGAUCGAUUCCCCCUUCGUAUCCUUCUUGACUACCAUCAAAAUCAAAUCUUUUGCUAUUAGAAUAUAUGGAAGGUUUCAGACCGACUUGCACCAGCAACACAGAAGACUAAUGUUACUAUGAUUGAAAGGGUAGACUUCCAUGAUAGCGAUGCUUUCCCCUGCUUUUCCUUUUUCAACUUAAUGAAAAGGUUUUAUGUGAUAUAUUGGCGGAUAAUAAUGGUAUUAAGAAACUCCAGGGGGUGUACUCUGAUCACAAUCGACGAGGGCUGUUGUUUCUAUGGGUUUAGGACUUUAAAGAUUUAUGUACAACUUCCCCAAAUUAUGUUAAUCUCUCCUCCGAUUGAGCCCCACCAUAUACAUAGGACUACUGAUGCCAAUUUUGCCCUUGCCCUAAGAUCUGGAAAAUCGUUUCAGCUGGAAAUUCGUUGAUGUGUAUAAGCCUUUCUUUAGACCCCAAAAGACGAUCUUCGUUUGCCUAACUUGCCACCAGAUUCCGAUACUGUACAAAUUUUUCGACUUGGGAAAGGUCUUUGGAAACCCUCG